rnacentral:rRNA from 2 species
GGGGAUUAGUGGCGAACGGGUGAGUAACACGUGGGCAAUCUGCCCUUCACUCUGGGACAAGCCCUGGAAACGGGGUCUAAUACCGGAUACGACACACGACCGCAUGGUCUGUGUGUGGAAAGCUCCGGCGGUGAAGGAUGAGCCCGCGGCCUAUCAGCUUGUUGGUGGGGUGAUGGCCUACCAAGGCGACGACGGGUAGCCGGCCUGAGAGGGCGACCGGCCACACUGGGACUGAGACACGGCCCAGACUCNUACGGGAGGCAGCAGUGGGGAAUAUUGCACAAUGGGCGAAAGCCUGAUGCAGCGACGCCGCGUGAGGGAUGACGGCCUUCGGGUUGUAAACCUCUUUCAGCAGGGAAGAAGCGAGAGUGACGGUACCUGCAGAAGAAGCGCCGGCUAACUACGUGCCAGCAGCCGCGGUAAUACGUAGGGCGCAAGCGUUGUCCGGAAUUAUUGGGCGUAAAGAGCUCGUAGGCGGCUUGUCACGUCGGAUGUGAAAGCCCGGGGCUUAACCCCGGGUCUGCAUUCGAUACGGGCAGGCUAGAGUUCGGUAGGGGAGAUCGGAAUUCCUGGUGUAGCGGUGAAAUGCGCAGAUAUCAGGAGGAACACCGGUGGCGAAGGCGGAUCUCUGGGCCGAUACUGACGCUGAGGAGCGAAAAGCGUGGGGAGCG